rnacentral:rRNA from 1 species
GUCAAGUUAUUAAGAGCAGAUGGUGGAUGUCUUGGCACCAAGAGCCGAAGAAGGACGUAGGAGGCUGCGAUAAGCCUCGGGGAGCUGUCAACCAAGCUGUGAUCCGGGGAUGUCCGAAUGGGGAAACCCAGCUGGGGUAAUGCCCAGUUACCCUCGACUGAACACAUAGGUCGAGCGGAGGGAACGUGGGGAAGUGAAACAUCUCAGUACCCACAGGAAGAGACAACAAUAGUGAUUCCGUAAGUAGUGGCGAGCGAACGCGGAAGAGGCCAAACCAUAUAUGCGUGAUAGCCAGUAGGCGUUGCAUAUGUGGGGUUGUGGGAUUGUUCUUUCAGAACUACUGAUCUGAAAGGGAGUAAGAAAUUCGUUUUGUAGUCGAAGGCCAUGCGAAAGGGCCGGCACAGAAGGUAAGACCCCUGUAGACGAAACAACUCGAACUCCCGAACAAUAUCCCAAGUAGCACGGGGCCCGAGAAAUCCCGUGUGAAUCUGGGGGGACCACCCCCUAAGCCUAAAUACUCCUUGGUGACCGGUACCGGACAAGUACCGUGAGGGAAAGAUGAAAAGAACCCCGGGAGGGUAGUGAAAUAGAACCUCAAUCCAUUUGCUUACAAUGCGUUGGAGCUGGGAUUCGUCCUGGUGACAGCGUGCCUUUUGAAGAAUGAGCCUGCGAGUUAGCGGUGUGUGGCAAGGUUAACCUGUUGAAGGGUAGCCGUAGCGAAAGCGAGUCUGAAUAGGGCGAAUCAGUCGCACACUCUAGACCCGAAGCGGAGUGAUCUACCCAUGGCCAGGUUGAAGCGACGGUAAGACGUCGUGGAGGACCGAACCCACUUAUGUUGAAAAAUGAGGGGAUGAGCUGUGGGUAGGGGUGAAAGGCCAAUCAAACUCCGUGAUAGCUGGUUCUCCCCGAAAUGCAUUUAGGUGCAGCGUCACGCGUUUCUUCCCGGAGGUAGAGCACUGGAUGGUCUAGGGGGCCUACAAGCUUACUGAAAUCAACCAAACUCCGAAUGCCGGGAAGUUAGAGCGUGGCAGUGAGACUGCGGGGGAUAAGCUCCGUAGUCGAGAGGGAAACAGCCCAGACCACCAACUAAGGCCCCAAAGCGUAUGCUAAGUGGGAAAGGAUGUGGAGUCGCAUAGACAACCAGGAGGUUGGCUUAGAAGCAGCCACCCUUGAAAGAGUGCGUAAUAGCUCACUGGUCAAGUGAUUCCGCGCCGACAAUGUAGCGGGGCUCAAGCAUACCGCCGAAGUUGUGGCAUUCAAGUACUAUCUCGGCCUGCUUAGGCAGGUCCAGGAUCUUGGAUGGGUAGGGGAGCGUCGUGUGGCGAGUGAAGCGGCAGGGGAACCUAGCCGUGGACGCCACACGAGUGAGAAUGCAGGCAUGAGUAGCGAAAGACGGGCGAGAAACCCGUCCGCCGAAUGAUCAAGGGUUCCAGGGCCAGGCUAAUCCGCCCUGGGUAAGUCGGGACCUAAGACGAGGCCGACAGGCGUAGUCGAUGGACAACGGGUUGAUAUUCCCGUACCGGCAUUAACACGACCAUGACGAACCUAGUAAUGCUAAGUGCCCAAAGCUCGGUGAUUCCUUCGGGAAGAGUUGAGUGGAGCGCACGACCCGAGCUAGUAGUAGUCAAGCAAUGGGGUGACACAGGAAGGUAGUCCAACCCGGGCGAUGGUAGUCCCGGGGUAAGGGUGUAGGGCGAGAUAUAGGUAAAUCCGUAUCUCAUGUGCCUGAGACCUGAUGCCGAGCCGAUCAAGGCGAAGUGGAUGAUCCUAUGCUGUCGAGAAAAGCCUCUAGCGAGUGUUAAAGCCGCCCGUACCCCAAACCGACACAGGUGAUCAGGUAGAGAAUACUAAGGCGAUCGAGAUAACUAUGGUUAAGGAACUCGGCAAAAUGCCCCCGUAACUUCGGGAGAAGGGGGGCCCGUUCUGGUUAGGAAACUUGCUUUCCGAGCUGGGAUUGGCCGCAGAGACCAGGCCCAAGCGACUGUUUACUAAAAACACAGGUCCAUGCUAAGUCGCAAGACAACGUAUAUGGACUGACGCCUGCCCGGUGCUGGAACGUUAAGGGGACGGGUUAGCAACUUCGGUUGCGAAGCUCAGAACUUAAGCGCCAGUAAACGGCGGUGGUAACUAUAACCAUCCUAAGGUAGCGAAAUUCCUUGUCGGGUAAGUUCCGACCUGCACGAAUGGCGUAACGACUUGGGCGCUGUCUCAACCAUAGACUCGGCGAAAUUGCACUACGAGUAAAGAUGCUCGUUACGCGCGGCAGGACGGAAAGACCCCGGGACCUUUACUACAGCUUGGUAUUGGUGGUCGAUUCAAUUUGUGUAGGAUAGGUGGGAGACUAUGAAACUUGGACGCCAGUUCAGGUGGAGUCAUCGUUGAAAUACCACUCUGAUUGUAUUGGCUGUCUAACUUAGGUCCGUGAUCCGGACCAGGGACAGUGCCUGGUGGGUAGUUUAACUGGGGCGGUUGCCUCCUAAAAUGUAACGGAGGCGCUCAAAGGUUCCCUCAGCCUGGUUGGCAAUCAGGUAUCGAGUGUAAGUGCACAAGGGAGCUUGACUGUGAGACUGACAAGUCGAGCAGGGACGAAAGUCGGAACUAGUGAUCCGGUGUUGGCAAGUGGAAGCGACAUCGCUCAACGGAUAAAAGGUACCCCGGGGAUAACAGGCUGAUCUUGCCCAAGAGUCCAUAUCGAUGGCAUGGUUUGGCACCUCGAUGUCGGCUCGUCGCAUCCUGGGGCUGGAGUAGGUCCCAAGGGUUGGGCUGUUCGCCCAUUAAAGCGGCACGCGAGCUGGGUUUAGAACGUCGUGAGACAGUUCGGUCCCUAUCCGCCGCGCGCGUAAGAGUCUUGAGAAGACCUGCCCCUAGUACGAGAGGACCGGGGUGGACGAACCUCUGGUGUGUCAGUUGUCCUGCCAAGGGCACUGCUGAUUAGCUACGUUCGGAAGGGAUAACCGCUGAAAGCAUCUAAGCGGGAAACCCUCUUCAAGAUGAGGGCUCUCACAGGGUUAACCUGGUAAGGCCCCCAGUAGACCACUGGGUUGAUAGGCCGGAAGUGGAAGUACAGCAAUGUAUGCAGCUGACCGGUACUAAUAGGCCGAGGACUUGAC